AUGCUGAUGCUGAAGUCAGCACUGGGACAGACAUGGGGCUCAUCUAAAAUAAGCUCCCUCUGCCCAGUCGCAUGGCUCUUGUCUCUGGAGAUCCCUUUCCUCUUGCUCUUCUCUUUGGACUUGAGGUCACCAACAACCUUAGGAUGUCUGCAUGCAUCUGUUCAGCUCAUUGCUUCAGUGAUAGAUGGAUCCUGGAUGGUGCACAUACCCAUUUUGCACACUUAUCACAGGACAAGGGAAUAUCCUGCAAAUGCAAUCCUGCUUCCCACUGGUGAGCCUCCCAUCCCAACCAGCACCGCUGCCGUCUGCUUGAGCUGUC
rnacentral:lncRNA from 1 species